CUACGGGCGGCAGCAGGCGAGAAAACUUUGCAGUGUGCGAAAGCACGACAAGGUUAAUCCGAGUGGUUUGUGCUAAACGAACCUUUUGACAGUCCUAGAAACACUGUUGAAUAAGGGGUGGGCAAGUUCUGGUGUCAGCCGCCGCGGUAAAACCAGCACCUCAAGUGGUCAGGAUGAUUAUUGGGCCUAAAGCAUCCGUAGCCGGCUCUGUAAGUUUUCGGUUAAAUCUGUACGCUCAACGUACAGGCUGCCGGGAAUACUGCAGAGCUAGGGAGUGGGAGAGGUAGACGGUACUCGGUAGGAAGGGGUAAAAUCCUUUGAUCUAUUGAUGACCACCUGUGGCGAAGGCGGUCUACCAGAACACGUCCGACGGUGAGGGAUGAAAGCUGGGGGAGCAAACCGGAUUAGAUACCCUUGUAGUC
rnacentral:rRNA from 1 species